rnacentral:rRNA from 1 species
GAUGAACGCUGGCGGCGUGCCUAAUACAUGCAAGUCGAGCGAACGGACGAGAAGCUUGCUUUUCUGAUGUUAGCGGCGGACGGGUGAGUAACACGUGGAUAACCUACCUAUAAGACUGGGAUAACUUCGGGAAACCGGAGCUAAUACCGGAUAAUAUUUUGAACCGCAUGGUUCAAAAGUGAAAGACGGUCUUGCUGUCACUUAUAGAUGGAUCCGCGCUGCAUUAGCUAGUUGGUAAGGUAACGGCUUACCAAGGCAACGAUGCAUAGCCGACCUGAGAGGGUGAUCGGCCACACUGGAACUGAGACACGGUCCAGACUCCUACGGGAGGCAGCAGUAGGGAAUCUUCCGCAAUGGGCGAAAGCCUGACGGAGCAACGCCGCGUGAGUGAUGAAGGUCUUCGGAUCGUAAAACUCUGUUAUUAGAGAAGAACAUAUGUGUAAGUAACUGUGCACAUCUUGACGGUACCUAAUCAGAAAGCCACGGCUAACUACGUG